AUGUCGGACCCUGUUAAAUUAGGAACCAUUUUAAAAUUUGGUCCGACAAGUUGUUUGUCCCUUUCCCACGGUGUGUGGUUGGAAUUCUUAGUAAGCGGGCCUCCUCCGCGCUGACCACGUCCUGUUCAGAAGGACAUCUUAGACAUUGCGUCACUCCACGGAUCUAAGUUUUUCCUUCCAAAGUUCACAGCUUCCAUUGUUUCAAUUCAAGGAAGUUCGAUCACGCUGACCAUUGAGUCAUAAAAGGAGGACCAGAUUGGUCAAUCUCAAGCUGGCCACGUUCCCUCAAGAAUGUUAGCCCACUACUCCUUUUCUGAUUGGCUUUUCCGAAGAUGAUAUCAUUAUUUUAGCUUUUUGACCAAUUGGAAAGUUUUCCCAAACCUGUCCGAGCGCGUGAUCAGUAGGGGUUUUUAAACCCCUGCUCCACCUCAAUUCUUCAGAAGCGAAGAAGACCUCGAUGCGAGAAUAUCUUAGAGUGCUACCCUUAGCACUUUUGAUAAGUUAGCCUAGGAACGAUUGCGGACUUUAAUAAGUCAUUUUCUCGUGAGAAACGUUCCUAACACUUUCCCUCGCAUCAUUUGCAAACGUGCUUUGUGAUACAGAACACGGAGUCCCCAGGUCACGCUUUGAGGAGUCGACCCGGUUCGAUUCUUCGCCCGGCCUGUUCCUGCUUCUCACCACCACCCCUCUCCGUCUGGACCACCGUUCGCUGGACUUCGCCUGGACGCUGCUGCUCUACCUGGACCCCAUCCGAGUACGACACCGCAUCGGCAAAUCAAGACGAGUUCCAACGCGACGCUUUGGACCCAGCUAAGAUCUUAUAAUUUUAUACUAUUGUAUAAAAUCUCCUUGUUGUAUUUUAUCGAUGUAUUCAUUGAUGUUUGCUAUAAUUCCUUGUGUUGAUGUUUCAGUGGUUUGACUUCAUUGAGCUUGUUGUAUUUAUUCAUGCUGAACCUUUGCAUACUUGUUGACUUUUGACUUUCACAAAAUUUGAAGUUUGUUGACUUUGAACACUUGCAAAUUCUUUCCUUGGAUUCAGAUGAUCUGAGAUUUUGCCUAUUGUUUUCACAUCCUUUGAUAUUUUUUGGUUUUUUUCAAUUAACUUUUUGUUGCAAUUGUUCAGAUUUUCCCAUUGUUUGGAUUGCAUUGUUGUUUGAAACGUUACACCACUGAAAAGUCACACGCAUGAUAUUUUGGAUUUUGAUGAUUCUUUUAUAAUUGAUUCUUGACCAAUCACUGUUGACAUUGAUGAUUUAUGAUGUGUUGAUGAAAUAAUAACAGAGUGAGUUCAUAGAGGAAAGGACCAACUUUAA